GAUGAACGCUGGCGGCGUGCCUAAUACAUGCAAGUCGAGCGAACGGACGAGAAGCUUGCUUCUCUGAUGUUAGCGGCGGACGGGUGAGUAACACGUGGAUAACCUACCUAUAAGACUGGGAUAACUUCGGGAAACCGGAGCUAAUACCGGAUGAUAUUUUGAACCGCAUGGUUCAAAAGUGAAAGACGGUCUUGCUGUCACUUAUAGAUGGAUCCGCGCUGCAUUAGCUAGUUGGUAAGGUAACGGCUUACCAAGGCAACGAUGCAUAGCCGACCUGAGAGGGUGAUCGGCCACACUGGAACUGAGACACGGUCCACACUCCUACGGGAGGCAGCAGUAGGGAAUCUUCCGCAAUGGGCGAAAGCCUGACGGAGCAACGCCGCGUGAGUCAUGAAGGUCUUCGGAUCGUAAAACUCUGUUAUUAGGGAAGAACAUAUGUGUAAGUAACUGUGCACAUCUUGACGGUACCUAAUCAGAAAGCCACAGCUAACUACGUG
rnacentral:rRNA from 1 species